UGCAAGUCGAACGCGUUGGCCCAAUUGAUUGAUGGUGCUUGCACCUGAUUGAUUUUGGUCGCCAACGAGUGGCGGACGGGUGAGUAACACGUAGGUAACCUGCCCAGAAGCGGGGGACAACAUUUGGAAACAGAUGCUAAUACCGCAUAACAGCGUUGUUCGCAUGAACAACGCUUAAAAGAUGGCUUCUCGCUAUCACUUCUGGAUGGACCUGCGGUGCAUUAGCUUGUUGGUGGGGUAACGGCCUACCAAGGCGAUGAUGCAUAGCCGAGUUGAGAGACUGAUCGGCCACAAUGGGACUGAGACACGGCCCAUACUCCUACGGGAGGCAGCAGUAGGGAAUCUUCCACAAUGGGCGCAAGCCUGAUGGAGCAACACCGCGUGAGUGAAGAAGGGUUUCGGCUCGUAAAGCUCUGUUGUUAAAGAAGAACACGUAUGAGAGUAACUGUUCAUACGUUGACGGUAUUUAACCAGAAAGUCACGGCUAACUACGUGCCAGCAGCCGCGGUAAUACGUAGGUGGCAAGCGUUAUCCGGAUUUAUUGGGCGUAAAGAGAGUGCAGGCGGUUUUCUAAGUCUGAUGUGAAAGCCUUCGGCUUAACCGGAGAAGUGCAUCGGAAACUGGAUAACUUGAGUGCAGAAGAGGGUAGUGGAACUCCAUGUGUAGCGGUGGAAUGCGUAGAUAUAUGGAAGAACACCAGUGGCGAAGGCGGCUACCUGGUCUGCAACUGACGCUGAGACUCGAAAGCAUGGGUAGCGAACAGGAUUAGAUACCCUGGUAGUCCAUGCCGUAAACGAUGAGUGCUAGGUGUUGGAGGGUUUCCGCCCUUCAGUGCCGGAGCUAACGCAUUAAGCACUCCGCCUGGGGAGUACGACCGCAAGGUUGAAACUCAAAGGAAUUGACGGGGGCCCGCACAAGCGGUGGAGCAUGUGGUUUAAUUCGAAGCUACGCGAAGAACCUUACCAGGUCUUGACAUCUUGCGCCAACCCUAGAGAUAGGGCGUUUCCUUCGGGAACGCAAUGACAGGUGGUGCAUGGUCGUCGUCAGCUCGUGUCGUGAGAUGUUGGGUUAAGUCCCGCAACGAGCGCAACCCUUGUUACUAGUUGCCAGCAUUAAGUUGGGCACUCUAGUGAGACUGCCGGUGACAAACCGGAGGAAGGUGGGGACGACGUCAGAUCAUCAUGCCCCUUAUGACCUGGGCUACACACGUGCUACAAUGGACGGUACAACGAGUCGCGAACUCGCGAGGGCAAGCAAAUCUCUUAAAACCGUUCUCAGUUCGGACUGCAGGCUGCAACUCGCCUGCACGAAGUCGGAAUCGCUAGUAAUCGCGGAUCAGCAUGCCGCGGUGAAUACGUUCCCGGGCCUUGUACACACCGCCCGUCACACCAUGAGAGUUUGUAACACCCAAAGUCGGUGGGGUAACCUUUUAGGAGCCAGCCGCCUAAGGU
rnacentral:rRNA from 1 species